CCGCAUGCAGCGCGGUGGGCCGGCCGUUGGGCGCGUGCAUCCGACGGAGAGGAGGUGAGGGCGGCCUGCAGCUGAGGGGCGAGCGUCAUGCGCGAGUGUAUCUCCAUCCACGUGGGGCAAGCGGGGGUCCAGAUUGGCAAUGCCUGCUGGGAACUGUACUGCCUUGAACAUGGAAUUCAGCCUGAUGGUCAAAUGCCAAGUGACAAAACCAUCGGUGGCGGGGAUGACUCCUUCAACACGUUCUUCAGCGAGACUGGGGCUGGCAAGCAUGUGCCCAGAGCAGUGUUUGUGGACCUGGAGCCCACCGUGGUCGAUGAAGUGCGCACAGGGACCUACAGGCAGCUCUUCCACCCGGAGCAGUUGAUCACCGGGAAGGAAGAUGCAGCCAAUAAUUAUGCCAGAGGCCAUUACACCAUCGGCAAGGAGAUCGUCGACCUGGUCCUGGACCGGAUCCGCAAACUGGUAAGAGGCGCCUGCAAGGUGGACUUGACAGAAUUCCAGACCAACCUGGUGCCCGUACCCCGCAUCCCUUCCCUGGCCACCUACGCCCCUGUCAUCUCAGCCGAGAAGGCUACCACGAGCAGCUGUCCGUGGCCGAGAUCACCAAUGCCUGCUUCGAGCCGGGAAUCAGAUGGUCCAAGUGUGACCCUCCGACAUGGCAAGUACAUGGCCUGCUGCAUGUUGUACAGGGGGGACGUGGUCCCAAAAGACGUCAAGGCCAUUGCCACAUCAAGACAAGCGCACCAUCCAGUUUGUGGACUGGUGUCCGACUGGAUAAGGUAGGAGUGGGUGAUGUCGAUUCUUUGUGGGCAUUAACUACCAGCCCCCCACUGUGGUCCCCGGGGGAGACCUGGCCAAGGUGCAGCGGGCCGUGUGCAUGCUGAGCAACACCACCGCCAUCGCCGAGGCCUGGGCCCGCCUAGACCACAAGUUCGAUCUCAUGUAUGCCAAGCGGGCCUUUGUGCACUGGUAUGUGGGAGAAGGCAUGGAGGAGGGGGAGUUCUCGGAGGCCCGAGAGGACCUGGCCGCUCUGGAGAAGGAUUAUGAAGAGGUGGGCGUGGAUUCCGUGGAAGCCGAGGCUGAGGAAGGGGAAGAAUACUGAGGGGGCACGUGGGCAGGUGCCCAUCUCUCCAGCCACCCUUCAGCAUGGCUGCUUUCAAGUUGUUUACAAUUAAAGUUUCUGUACAAAACCAAAA